rnacentral:lncRNA from 1 species
CCAUUAACUUUAAUUAGUUGUAGUGUGAUACUGUAUUUUAACCGACCGCGCGAAGCCGCCCGGUAAGCGCUCGAAUCCGUAUAUAGGAGCCGACUUGCCGAAUGACGAUCCGGCACGAAGGGGUUAAACGCACUUUUUAAAUCAACAAAGCACAUGUCUG